AAAAUGUGAGGCCAAAAUAGUCAACUAUGCUAUCAGUUUGACUACAAUUUUAAUUUACCUUCAAGGAAUUCACUUUAAAUGUUUAACUUAUUGAAUAACCCUGCAUGUAUUUUAUGUGUUUAAUUUAAUGUUUAAAGGGACAUGCAUCAAUCUAAGACAACUGAGUCAUUCAAACAUUUUAGCUUUGAAUGACAAAGUUGCCUCAAUUCUUUAUUCUUUCACAUACUUUCCACACCCACUCCAGGGGGAAUACUGGUCUAACCAAUCAGUGUCCUAUCCCUAGGAAUGCUU